UUAAGAAAAAACAAGAACAUCAAUCGUUAUAGUGGAUGAAAUCGAUAUUACUGAGUAAGAGGGGAUCUCUCGACCCUCAAUUGCCAUGAAAUAUUACUGGGUAAGAUAUCAUGUACCGCCUAAGCUUGCCGUUGGCUGUACCCUCAAUUGCCAAUAAAUCCUUUCCAUACCCGAGACUGUCUUAGUAUGAUAUUCACCUUCAGUUAUUAGAGUCUUUUCAUAUCACAUGAUAUCUUUCCCACACAUUUGAUGGGGGCAGUACUGUCUCAGAGAUAAAUGCAUAGGCCACACAAUGGGUCUUCCAGACUGCACAAGUACACUAGAGUAGAUUAUGAUGGAGCCAUAUUAUGGAUGGCUUAUAGUGGACUAGGUUUGUGGAAUCAGAGCAACAACAAAGCAGUGACUGUAGUAAAUACGAAUGAACGAGAUCAUAAGGUGAAUGAUGGCCAUUAUCCGUCACUCGGGCUCAAAGAAAGAAACCUUGAAGUAGAAAAACCAGGCUGCAGCUACCAACUUGGAGUAAAGGUAAAUUAGAUC
rnacentral:sRNA from 1 species